GACGAACGCUGGCGGCGUGCUUAACACAUGCAAGUCGAACGGAAAGGCCCUGCUUGCAGGGUGCUCGAGUGGCGAACGGGUGAGUAACACGUGGGUGAUCUGCCCCUUACUUUGGGAUAAGCCUGGGAAACUGGGUCUAAUACUGGAUAGGACCAUGCUGUAGGUGGUGUGGUGGAAAGAUUAGUUUCGGUAAGGGAUGAGCUCGCGGCCUAUCAGCUUGUUGGUGGGGUAAUGGCCUACCAAGGCGUCGACGGGUAGCCGGCCUGAGAGGGUGGACGGCAAAAUUGGAACUAAGUUAGGGCCAAGCCUCAACCGGAGGGCAGCGGUGGGGAAUAUGGCACAAUGGGCGCAACCCUAAUGCGGCGCCGCGGCGUGGGGGAUGACGCCUUUCGGUUGUAAACUCCUUUCAGCCAUGACGAAGCCCUUGUGGUGACGGUAGUGGUAGAAGAAGCACCGGCUAACUACGU
rnacentral:rRNA from 1 species